UGAGAAUCUGCCUUAAGGAUUGGGACAACAGUGGGAAACCGCUGCUAAUACCAAAUAUGCCUUUUAGUGAAACGGGUAAAACCGCCUUAAGAUGAGCUCGCGUCUGAUUAGCUAGUAGGUGUGGUAAGAGCGCACCUAGGCGACGAUCAGUAGCUGGUCUGAGAGGACGACCAGCCACACUGGGACUGAGACACGGCCCAGACUCCUACGGGAGGCAGCAGUGAGGAAUUUUCCGCAAUGGGCGAAAGCCUGACGGAGCAAUACCGCGUGAGGGAGGAAGGUUCUUGGAUUGUAAACCUCUUUUCUCAGAGAAGAAUAAUGACGGUAUCUGAGGAAUAAGCAUCGGCUAACUCCGUGCCAGCAGCCGCGGUAAUACGGAGGAUGCAAGCGUUAUCCGGAAUGAUUGGGCGUAAAGGGUCUGUAGGUGGUUGUUCAAGUCUGCUGUUAAAGCGUCUGGCUUAACCAGAUAAAGGCGGUGGAAACUGAACGACUAGAGUGCGGUAGGGGUAGAGGGAAUUCCCAGUGUAGCGGUGAAACGCGUAGAUCUUGGGAAGAACACCUGUGGCGAAAGCGCUCUACUGGACCGCGACUGACACUGAUGGACGAAAGCUAGGGGAGCGAAUGGGAUUAGAUACCCCAGUA
rnacentral:rRNA from 1 species